AUUGAACGCUGGCGGAAUGCUUUACACAUGCAAGUCGAGCGGCAGCGCGGGGCAACCUGGCGGCGAGCGGCGAACGGGUGAGUAAUGCAUCGGAACAUGUCCAUGUCGUGGGGGAUAGCCCGGCGAAAGCCGGAUUAAUACCGCAUACGCCCGAGAGGGGAAAGUGGGGGACCGCAAGGCCUCACGCGAUUGGGUUGGCCGAUGUCCGAUUAGCUAGUUGGCGGGGUAAAGGCCCACCAAGGCGAUGAUCGGUAGCUGGUCUGAGAGGAUGAUCAGCCACACUGGGACUGGGACACGGCCCAGACUCCUACGGGAGGCAGCAGUGGGGAAUUUUGGACAAUGGGGGCAACCCUGAUCCAGCCAUUCCGCGUGAGUGAAGAAGGCCUUCGGGUUGUAAAGCUCUUUUGUCCGGAACGAAACGGUUACGGUGAAUACCCGUGACUACUGACGGUACCGGAAGAAUAAGCACCGGCUAACUACGUGCCAGCCGCCGCCGUAA
rnacentral:rRNA from 1 species